CCACCGCAUAGCCCUUCUGCUGCCACGGAGUGCUCUGCGGCCUGCCCUGCCCUGGCAGAGAGGCCCACACCAGGAUGGCUCUUCCCACUUUCCUGCGAUCAGGGACUUGGGGCUGACCCCUGCUGUCUCCAGGCUCCCUGGGGGCUUGGUGGAACCCUCUGACCUGUAGGCACCCCCAAGCUGGGCACGCCCAGGCCUGGGGCUAGGCCUGAGCCUUCUCUCUGCUGUGCCCUCAGUUCCCAGCCCCAGAGCCAGGGUCACCACGCUGUCCAACCCCAUGGCGGCCUCGGCCUCCAGACGGACCGCACCCCGAGGUAAGUGGGGCAGUGUCCGGACCAGUGGACGCAGCAGUGGCCUUGGCACCGAUGUGGGCUCCCGGCUAGCUGGCAGAGACGCGCU
rnacentral:lncRNA from 1 species